GAGAGGAUUUGCAUUGGUGGUAGUAGCUGAGGUUUGGGCGGCGGCUGCUGCAGCUGCUAAAGUUGCCAAAUUCUGUAAUUGUAAAGCGUUCAUGCCGGCCAUUUGCUGAAUGCCGCUGAAGGCACCCAAGUUACUGGAGGAAGUUGCUUGCUGCAGGAGAGCUAGAUAUUGUGGUGUGAGUCCUCCAAGACCCGUGAGGUUUCCCCAAGUGGCAGUAUUGAGCUGUUGCAUCUGCUGUGCCAACUGCUGCUGCAAACGCCGCUGCUCUUU
rnacentral:lncRNA from 1 species